UAGCUAGUUGGUGAGGUAAAGGCUUACCAAGGCGACGAUCUGUAGCGGGUCUGAGAGGAUGAUCCGCCACACUGGAACUGAGACACGGUCCAGACUCCUACGGGAGGCAGCAGUGGGGAAUUUUGGACAAUGGGAGCAACCCUGAUCCAGCCAUGCCGCGUGAGUGAAGAAGGCCUUCGGGUUGUAAAGCUCUUUCGGCCGGGAAGAAAUCGCAUGGGCCAAUACCCUGUGUGGAUGACGGUACCGGAAUAAGAAGCACCGGCUAACUACGUGCCAGCAGCCGCGGUAAUACGUAGGGUGCGAGCGUUAAUCGGAAUUACUGGGCGUAAAGCGUGCGCAGGCGGUUUUGUAAGACAGGCGUGAAAUCCCCGGGCUUAACCUGGGAACUGCGUUUGUGACUGCAAGGCUAGAGUACGGCAGAGGGGGGUGGAAUUCCACGUGUAGCAGUGAAAUGCGUAGAGAUGUGGAGGAACACCAAUGGCGAAGGCAGCCCCCUGGGUCGAUACUGACGCUCAUGCACGAAAGCGUGGGUAGCAAACAGGAUUAGAUACCCUGGUAGUCCACGCCCUAAACUAUGUCAACUAGGUGUUGGGUGGGUAAAACCAUUUAGUACCGUAGCUAACGCGUGAAGUUGACCGCCUGGGGAGUACGGCCGCAAGGUUAAAACUCAAAGGAAUUGACGGGGACCCGCACAUGCGGUGGAUGAUGUGGAUUAAUUCGAUGCAACGCGAAAAACCUUACCUACCCUUGACAUGCCAGGAACUUGCCAGAGAUGGCUUGGUGCCCGAAAGGGAGCCUGGACACAGGUGCUGCAUGGCUGUCGUCAGCUCGUGUCGUGAGAUGUUGGGUUAAGUCCCGCAACGAGCGCAACCCUUGUCGUUAAUUGCCAUCAUUUAGUUGGGCACUUUAACGAGACUGCCGGUGACAAACCGGAGGAAGGUGGGGAUGACGUCAAGUCCUCAUGGCCCUUAUGGGUAGGGCUUCACACGUCAUACAAUGGUCGGUACAAAGGGUUGCCAAGCCGCGAGGCGGAGCCAAUCCCAGAAAGCCGAUCGUAGUCCGGAUUGCAGGCUGCAACUCGCCUGCAUGAAGUCGGAAUCGCUAGUAAUCGUGGAUCAGCAUGUCACGGUGAAUACGUUCCCGGGUCUUGUACACACCGCCCGUCACACCAUGGGAGCGGGUUCCGCCAGAAGUAGGUAGCCUAACCGCAAGGGGGGCGCUUACCACGGCGGGGUUCGUGACUGGGGUGAAGACGUAACAAGGUAGCCGUAGGGGAACCUGCGGCUG
rnacentral:rRNA from 1 species